UGGGGAAUUUUGGACAAUGGGGGCAACCCUGAUCCAGCCAUCCCGCGUGUGCGAUGAAGGCCUUCGGGUUGUAAAGCACUUUUGGCAGGGAAGAAACAGCCUGGGCUAAUAUCCCGGGCGACUGACGGUACCUGCAGAAUAAGCACCGGCUAACUACGUGCCAGCAGCCGCGGUAAUACGUAGGGUGCAAGCGUUAAUCGGAAUUAUUGGGCGUAAAGGGCGCGUAGGCGGUGUCUUAAGUGUGAUGUGCAAUCCCCGGGCUUAACCUGGGAACUGCAUCCCAGACUGGGACGCUGGAGUACUGGAGAGGGUGGUGGAAUUCGACGUGUAGCGGUGAAAUGCGUAGAGAUGUGGAGGAACACCAGCGGCGAAGGCGGCCACCUGGACAGUAACUGACGCUGAGGCGCGAAAGUGUGGGUAGCAAACA
rnacentral:rRNA from 1 species